rnacentral:rRNA from 1 species
UGCGGAAGGAUCAUUACAGAAAGAAUUUAACAACGAGUUGUCGCUGGUCCCUUCUCGGUCGAUCGUGCACGCUUGUUGUUCUUCAUUUCUCCAUCAUUUGUGCAUCGCCCGUGUGGAUCUUCGUUAGGACUGCUUCGCAAAGUUGCUAUUUGUGGGGCUUUCCUUGUAACCUUUUUGAUCCACAUGUUUUUUUUUCACACACACACACCCAAAUGUUUAGAAGGAAAUAAAAAAUGAAUUGUUAUACAACUUUCAGCAACGGAUCUCUUGGCUCUCGCAUCGAUGAAGAACGCAGCGAAAUGCGAUAAGUAAUGUGAAUUGCAGAAUUCAGUGAAUCAUCGAAUCUUUGAACGCAUCUUGCGCUCCUUGGUAUUCCGAGGAGCAUGCCUGUUUGAGUGUCAUUAAUAUCUCAACCACAUCCAUUUUUUUUGGCAUGUGGCUUGGACUUGGAGGAUCGUGCAGGCUCCGACUCCCUGUAGUCUGCUCCUCUGAAAAAUAUAAGCGGUACCUAUAUUGGAACUUUGGCUAGGUGUGAUACACAAUCUGCAUCUAAUCGAGGUUGGCCUGUUGGUUAUGCUGCUGACAGUUAUGGCUCGAUAGA